GUACACGCUGUGACUAGCAUAUCAAUAAGCGGAGGAAAAGAAACUAACAAGGAUUCCCCUAGUAACGGCGAGUGAAGCGGGAAGAGCUCAAAUUUGAAAUCUUCAAGGUUUUACCUUGACGAAUUGUAGUUUAAAGAAGUAUUUUCUGCUGAAGUUUUGGUAAAAGUUCUUUGGAAUAGGACAUCAUAGAGGGUGAGAAUCCCGUAUUUGACCAUUAUUUUCAGCUUUGUGAUACACUUUCAAAGAGUCGGAUUGUUUGGGAAUGCAGUCCAAAAUGGGUGGUGAAUUUCAUCUAAGGCUAAAUAUUGGCGAGAGACCGAUAGCGAACAAGUACCGUGAGGGAAAGAUGAAAAGAACUUUGAAAAGAGAGUUAAAUAGUACGUGAAAUUGUCAAAAGGGAAGCGUUUAACACCAGUGUUGUUUUCUGAAAAUCAACCUCUGUUAGCUUUAUGCAUGUUUGUUUAGACCUAAUCAGCUAUCUUGCAUGUUCUAUUGUUUGCAGUGGUGCACUUUUCAGUUUACAGGUCAACAUCAGUUUUUUUUACCGUAAAAAAGUUAAAGAAAGGUAGCUCAUGGCUCCGGUCGUGAGUGUUAUAGUCUUUUUCCUAUGCGGUAGGAGAGACUGAGGUCUGCAGUGUAGGCUAUUUGGCUAGGAUACUCAGGUGCUAUGUGAUACCAUUUCAUAAACAACUUGUUGAUUAUGUUUUGUCUAUUGCAUACUCGCUUGUACUAUCAUACCUACGCUUAGGAUGUUGAGUAGCGACAUACGCA
rnacentral:rRNA from 1 species